UUUAUAGUCUUAAUAUGUCCCAUGCCAUAUUUGAGAUAUACUUAUGUUAAAA
rnacentral:pre_miRNA from 1 species